AGCAGCCGCGGUAAUUCCAGCUCCAAUAGCGUAUAUUAAAGUUGUUGCAGUUAAAAAGCUCGUAGUUGAAUUUCGAGAUCAAUAUGUUGGUCGUGCCUUGGUACGUACUGGCAUUAUCGAUUCCUACCUUCUGAAGAACCUCGAUGUCAUUAAUUUGGUGUCUUGGGGAAUCAGGACUGUUACUUUGAAAAAAUUAGAGUGUUUAAAGCAAGCUAACGCUUGAAUACAUUAGCAUGGAAUAAUGAAAUAGGACGUUCGAUCCUAUUUUGUUGGUUUCUAGGAUUGACGUAAUGAUUAAUAGGGAUAGUUGGGGGCAUUAGUAUUCAAUUGUCAGAGGUGAAAUUCUUGGAUUUAUUGAAGACUAACUACUGCGAAAGCAUUUGCCAAGGAUGUUUUCAUUAAUCAAGAACGAAAGUUAAGGGGAUCGAAGACGAUCAGAUACCGUCGUAGUCUUAACCAUAAACUAUGCCGACUAGGGAUCGGAUGAUGUUAAAUUUUUUUAAUGACUCAUUCGGCGUCC
rnacentral:rRNA from 1 species